AGUCUUAGAAUGGAAAAAGUAAAGAAAUAUCAACUUCCAAGUUGGCAAGUAACUCCCAAUGAUUUAGUUUUUUUCCCCCCAGUUUGAAUUGGGAAGCUGGGGGAAGUUAAAUAUGAGCCACUGGGUGUACCAGUGCAUUAAUUUGGGCAAGGAAAGUGUCAUAAUUUGAUACUGUAUCUGUUUUCCUUCAAAGUAUAGAGCUUUUGGGGAAGGAAAGUAUUGAACUGGGGGUUGGUCUGGCCUACUGGGCUGACAUUAACUACAAUUAUGGGAAAUGCAAAAGUUGUUUGGAUAUGGUAGUGUGUGGUUCUCUUUUGGAAUUUUUUUCAGGUGAUUUAAUAAUAAUUUAAAACUACUAUAGAAACUGCAGAGCAAAGGAAGUGGCUUAAUGAUCCUGAAGGGAUUUCUUCUGAUGGUAGCUUUUGUAUUAUCAAGUAAGAUUCUAUUUUCAGUUGUGUGUAAGCAAGUUUUUUUUUAGUGUAGGAGAAAUACUUUUCCAUUGUUUAACUGCAAAACAAGAUGUUAAGACUUUUUUCAGAUAACAUCUUCUGAGUCAUAACCAGCCUGGCAGUAUGAUGGCCUAGAUGCAGAGAAAACAGCUCCUUGGUGAAUUGAUAAGUAAAGGCAGAAAAGAUUAUAUGUCAUACCUCCAUUGGGGAAUAAGCAUAACCCUGAGAUUCUUACUACUGAUGAGAACAUUAUCUGCAUAUGCCAAAAAAUUUUAAGCAAAUGAAAGCUACCAAUUUAAAGUUACGGAAUCUACCAUUUUAAAGUUAAUUGCUUGUCAAGCUAUAACCACAAAAAUAAUGAAUUGAUGAGAAAUACAAUGAAGAGGCAAUGUCCAUCUCAAAAUACUGCUUUUACAAAAGCAGAAUAAAAGCGAAAAGAAAUGAAAAUGUUACACUACAUUAAUCCUGGAAUAAAAGAAGCCGAAAUAAAUGAGAGAUGAGUUGGGAUCAAGUGGAUUGAGGAGGCUGUGCUGUGUGCCAAUGUUUCGUUUGCCUCAGACAGAAACUUUGUCUGCGAACACUCUUUAAUGGACCAGAUCAGGAUUUGAGCGGAAGAACGAAUGUAACUUUAAGGCAGGAAAGACAAAUUUUAUUCUUCAUAAAGUGAUGAGCAUAUAAUAAUUCCAGGCACAUGGCAAUAGAGGCCCUCUAAAUAAGGAAUAAAUAACCUCUUAGACAGGUGGGAGGUAACAGCACAAUAUCUUUGAACUAUAUACAUCCUUGAUGUAUAAUUUGUCAGGAGCUUGACUUGAUUGUAUAUUCAUAUUUACACGAGAACCUAAUAUAACUGCCUUGUCUUUUUCAGGUAAUAGCCUGCAGCUGGUGUUUUGAGAAGCCCUACUGCUGAAAACUUAACAAUUUUGUGUAAUAAAAAUGGAGAAGCUC
rnacentral:lncRNA from 1 species